GGUCACAUAUCUAUUUGUGUUUUCUGUUCUUCAGGUCCCAGAGAGGAGCUCAUAGACAGACUGAAAUCUUAUGCACAGUCUGGGAUGAUCUUAACUAAGCCGAACAUGCAAGGAGGAGAUGACAAGAUCAUGACUACUACGAUGCCAGGUCUGCCGCCCAUGCCCCCGAUGCCCUCUAUGCCCCUGCCGCCGGGCAUGAACAUGAUGCAGGCCAUGAACAUGAUGGGCGGCCCUCCACCCAUCCACAUGGGCAUGAUGCAGCACGACGACAGAGCGGCACAGGUGAGAG